rnacentral:snoRNA from 1 species
UUGCAAUGGUGAGAUCGAAUCACGAGAAAGUCGUUUAUCGCUGAACUAAAAGACCGAUUCCUUCGUUCGGAAGUCAUGUCGAUCGGCGGAAUGGACGAGCGUCUAAUCUUCUCUCUGAGCAAG